CACGUAUUUAGCCGGUGCUUCUUACUCAGGUACCGUCAUUUUUCUUCCCUGCUGAUAGAGCUUUACAUACCGAAAUACUUCUUCGCUCACGCGGCGUCGCUGCAUCAGGGUUUCCCCCAUUGUGCAAUAUUCCCCACUGCUGCCUCCCGUAGGAGUUUGGGCCGUGUCUCAGUCCCAAUGUGGUCGGCCACCCUCUCAGGUCGGCUACUGAUCGUCGCCUUGGUGGGCCUCUCCCCCGCCAACUAGCUAAUCAGACGCGGGCCCAUCCCAUACCACCGGAGUUUUUCACACCAGGCCAUGCGGCCCUUGUGCGCUUAUGCGUUUAGCAGCCGUUUCCGGCUGUUACUCCCCUGUAGUGGGGCAGGUUCGCCCGACGCGUUACUCCACCCGUCCGCCACCUCACGUCCACUAACUUUUCCUUCCUUACCCCCGAAGGAAACUACUAAAAAGAGUUCG
rnacentral:rRNA from 1 species